CCUACGGGAGGCAGCAGUGGGGAAUAUUGGGCAAUGGGCGCAAGCCUGACCCAGCAACGCCGCGUGAAGGAAGAAGGCUUUCGGGUUGUAAACUUCUUUUGUCAGGGACGAAGCAAGUGACGGUACCUGACGAAUAAGCCACGGCUAACUACGUGCCAGCACCCGCGGUAAUACGUAGGUGGCAAGCGUUAUCCGGAUUUAUUGGGUGUAAAGGGCGUGUAGGCGGGAAUGCAAGUCAGAUGUGAAAACUAAGGACCCAACCCAUAGCCUGCCUUUGAUACUGUAUUCCUUGAGUGCUGGAGAGGCAAUCGGAAUUCCGGGUGUAGCGGUGAAAUGCGUAGAUAUACGGAGGAACACCAGUGGCGAAGGCGGAUUGCUGGACAGUAACUGACGCUGAGGCGCGAAAGCGUGGGGAGCAAACAGGAUUAGAUACCCCGGUAGUC
rnacentral:rRNA from 1 species